rnacentral:lncRNA from 1 species
AUGACUCCAGGAAUUAUCCCAGAUAUGACUGGCUACAAUCAAUACCUUACUAGAUGUGGAAAUGGCUUCAUUGCUGGAGCCAUUAAUGCAGACCAUCAGAAUAAUGCUCAAGCAUCUCGUCAAACGCUGUCAGUGAAUCUAACGGUUACUGUGUCUGCUAUAUCGCCCCCAAUGAACACUCACGACCAACCAGGAGGUCGUCACAUGGACCCACCUUUUACUGAUGGUGACGUGUUACACUCCGUUUAUGGAUGGGGAAGGAACAUGUCUCAGCUUUGGGACAGAGAUGAACAACACGAUGAAGAGGAGAAAAAUGUACGUCUGAAGAUGAAGAAGGAAAAAGCUGGAAGAAGGAGGAAAAGAUCCCGUCAUGCUGGUCAUUAGAGGGGCUAAAGAUCUGACCAGCAUGUGUCAGAUCAAACAUUAAAAAUAAUAUUCAUAGUAUUUUCAUUAUUUUGUACUUUUUGCUUUACUAAUUUUAAGAUGCGGUCACAGUUACCAUUUUGCUAAUUUGUGCAGACAAAGUGCAGUCAUUUCAAUGGAAAUUUACACAGAAGUUUACCCAAGCAGAUUUUACACUGGGUUCAAGUUGGUCAAGCAAAUUCACUGCUUGGUUUGAAAGUGACUCCUGAGUUGUGCAGCACUAAACUGAUGAAAAUCUUUGUGACCGCAACUUUAUUGCAUGUUCACUAACAAAAUAAGUUUGUUGUGUGUUUAUUAACAAAAUAAGUGCAUGUUCCCUAAAAAAAAAAAAAGUUUAUUGUGUUUACUGAUAAAAUAAGCUGCUUUUAUAUGCUACUAAAUUAAUCCAAAACUGCAGUAUUAAAAGGAUAAUUCACCCAAAAAUAAAAAUUACCCCAUUAUUUACUCAUCCAGUGUAUUUGCCUUUCUUCUUUCAAUGUCUUCCAAGCUUUAUAAUGGGAGUUAAUGGGGGUCAAGACUUUAAAGCAAAAUAAAGUGCAUCCAUCCAACAUAAAAAAGUGCUCAACACAAUGUGUUUGUGUAAGAAAAAUAUCAUCUGUCUCAUCUGUCAUCUCAAGCUUCUGUUAAGUGUUGUGCAUGUGUUCACAAGAGAGUGACGUCCAGCAGAUGACGUAGGCGUAGCGUAAGCUCUGGUUGGGGCUGUCCACACCAAGAAUGAUAACUAUAUCAAUGACUACAAGUUUUAUGAGAAUAGAGAAAAUCAUACCACAACUUUAACAAUAACAACACAGAAGAACAAUAUCAUUAAAAUCACCUUCAGGACAAAUUUUUGUUCAAUAGGUUGUGGGCACUAUAGCUGUAGUAGAACUGGUAAGUGGACCAUCCAAGAACUUUUGGGAUUCUCAAUUUAACAAUACAAUUUGGGAGACAUUCAUUCUAAUUCAGAAUUUGAUUUAAGACAGUAUGUAAAUGGAGAUUACAGUAUCCAGCAACAGUUAUGGUUAUCUUUAUAGCAAAUCUUCUUGGUGUGACCGGGCCUUUAGUAGGAAUGGGCAUUUAUAGUGUUUAAAAAUGGUAGUAUCAUCAAGGCAAACUAUUAUUGGAUUAAUUUAGCAUUUUUGUUCAUUGAAUUUGAGGAUUAUUCAUUAUCACUUUUGGUGUAUUAUCACUUUAUCAAUACUGUCACGAUCAUUAGCUGGAGUGCCCAUGAGCUUCCGUAGAGGGCACUCCACUCAGGACUCAUUCUGAACUCCAUUUCCCAUCCUGCCACAUUCCUCUGAUGUACUGUAGCAUAUACUCUAUUUCUGUAAACUUAAAGGGACAUUUUCCCCAAAAAUGAAAAUUCUUUCAUUAAAUAAUCACCAUCAAGCCAUUCCAAAUUCAAUCAUCUCCUGAACACAAAUUAAUAUCAUUUUGAUUUAGAUUUUUCUCUGAAACUCGAUUUACAGCAAUGGUAACAGUCAAGGCACAGAACAUCGUUAAAAUAGUCAGUGUGUUAUCAGUGGUUCAACCGUAAUUUUACUAAGCUACGAGAAUACUUUCUGCAUAGACUAAUCAACAAUUCUUCCCCUUCGUGUGACCCUAGGCUCCAUUAUAUAGAGUAAAACAGUGUACAUAUCUUUCUGUGCCUGGGAACAUUUCAGUUACAUUGCUGUUUAUGAAGUGUUGGAAAGCUCCUGGAUUUCAUAAGAAUACACAGAUUCAUUAACAGAGGUUGUAUGAGUUAUUGUCUGUCAUAUUCAUUUUAGACCUCCCAUUCAAUUGUAUUAAACUAAGAGAGAUGUUCUGUUUUUCUAAAAUUCUUAAUUUGUGUUCAUCUGAUAAAUGAAAGUCAAAUAUUGGAUGUCAUGAGGGUGGAAAGAAUUAAGUUUCCUUUAAAUCUCUUUCCCUGUAUUUGUGUGUGUGUGUGUGUGUUCCAUUGUGCAGAAUUUGAAAUGUUGUUGUUGGACUACAUGUAUGUGUUUGACCUUUGCAUUUUGUUUCGUUUUCUCCCUUUAACAAAACUACUGUAUAUCUGUUCAGUACUUCUACUUUUUAAAUACUCGAGUACAUUUAAAGUUGUACUUUUUUCUAACUUUAACUCAAAUUGUACCUGUACUUGUACUUUUAAGUAAGUAAAAUUUUCACUAAGUUUCUGUGCUUUCACUUGAGUCAAAUUGUUGAGUAUUUUUUACACACAAACUUCUCUUCACAAGACAUGAAAGUGAGUAAAUGAUGACAGUGUGACAUUUUUGGGUGAACUAUGACUUCAAAAAUUGACACAGUACCAUACAAAGUGCCAGCAAAACAAUGAGCAGCGAAUACUGAAUGAAACUGGGAAAGAAAGCUUUCUGUUUUCAUUCAGGGUCAUCAUGUCUGUGCUUCCUCUCUCCUCUCAGCUCUGGAGUCCGCAUUUUUUUGCCUCCCAGCUAACUCUCACAAUGACCUCUAGUGGACAGGAGAGAAAACAAAUAAGUCUACUAUAGAUCAAGCAUUACAAGUUUCUGCAAACACAUUUGCAGUCCUACAAUAUGUUUUGCUUAAGACCACAUGCAUUGGCUUCUAAACAGUUUUUCCAAACAUCAGCUGUCACAAUGUUUUUGGUUUGUGUUGGAUUUGAAGAGUUCAGUUUUGGCUCCAAAUAAUGUACACCUCUGCUGUGAGGACAUAA